UAGGGAAUCUUCGGCAAUGGGGGGAACCCUGACCGAGCAACGCCGCGUGAGUGAAGAAGGUUUUCGGAUCGUAAAGCUCUGUUGUUAAGGAAGAACGAGUGUGAGAAUGGAAAGUUCAUACUGUGACGGUACUUAACCAGAAAGGGACGGCUAACUACGUGCCAGCAGCCGCGGUAAUACGUAGGUCCCGAGCGUUGUCCGGAUUUAUUGGGCGUAAAGCGAGCGCAGGCGGUUAGAUAAGUCUGAAGUUAAAGGCAGUGGCUCAACCAUUGUAGGCUUUGGAAACUGUUUAACGUGAGUGCAGAAGGGGAGAGUGGAAUUCCAUGUGUAGCGGUGAAAUGCGUAGAUAUAUGGAGGAACACCGGUGGCGAAAGCGGCUCUCUGGUCUGUAACUGACGCUGAGGCUCGAAAGCGUGGGGAGCGAACAGG
rnacentral:rRNA from 1 species